GACGGCGCGGUUGGGUUAAUCAGCUUUCACCUUGCCUUUUACCAGAUGAAACCUUGGCCCACCGCAACACGCCGCAUUCUCAAUCUUUGGAAUAUCUAGAUCGAGUAAAUCG
rnacentral:snRNA from 1 species